rnacentral:rRNA from 1 species
GAUGAACGCUGGCGGCGUGCUUAACACAUGCAAGUCGAACGGAAAGGCCCUGCUUUUGUGGGGUGCUCGAGUGGCGAACGGGUGAGUAACACGUGAGUAACCUGCCCUUGACUUUGGGAUAACUUCAGGAAACUGGGGCUAAUACCGGAUAGGAGCUCCUGCUGCAUGGUGGGGGUUGGAAGGUUUCGGCGGUUGGGGAUGGACUCGCGGCUUAUCAGCUUGUUGGUGGGGUAGUGGCUUACCAAGGCUUUGACGGGUAGCCGGCCUGAGAGGGUGACCGGCCACAUUGGGACUGAGAUACGGCCCAGACUCCUACGGGAGGCAGCAGUGGGGAAUAUUGCACAAUGGGCGGAAGCCUGAUGCAGCAACGCCGCGUGCGGGAUGACGGCCUUCGGGUUGUAAACCGCUUUCGCCUGUGACGAAGCGUGAGUGACGGUAAUGGGUAAAGAAGCACCGGCUAACUACGUG